UCUCUCUUCCAACCUCCACGAUCACCAUUCACCAAUAUAAUUACCUCUAUUUUUUCUUAACUACCGAUGUGGGCACGCAUUGCUUCUUCCCCAUAUUCAGAUAAAAUGUUGAUUUGUGAUAUGUUUCUUUUUUUCGUUGCUUCAUCUCUUUAGAUCUCACUCUUCUCUCUAUUUCUAUUACAACUGUCUCAUUUAUUUACAUUCAAAGGCUUCUACGUAAAACUCAAGAUUUAAGAAAAUGUGGAAAGACAGAAGAAAACAAACUCUAUCGAACAAAAAUAGAAUUAUAGUUUAUCUGUAUGCUGUGGGCUAAAAAAAGGAAUAAAUGGGGAGAUGGAUAACUACAAUGAAGACAUUAAGACGAGGAAGACACGGUUCAAGCAACGAAAGUCAAAGCUGACCAGUUGGGUCUUGAGAUGAGAGAAGUGAGCAGCUUAGAGAGCUUUACCACCAAUAGCAAAGUCUAUAAUACCGCUGAUAGCAAAGUCUUCACUCACUCUCUUCUCGCUAAAAGUGUUUUGCUUCUCACAGUGGUUUACUUUCUAUAUCUUGGAGGAGUCUCUGGAAUCGGCACGGCCGAACAUAUUGCAGAGAAUUUUAAACACACGUACAAAGCCCCUAUAAUGCAAACCACCACAAGAAAAUAGAGAGGAGAAAACGUAGAGAUAAAAGGCACAAAUGGAGUCUAAGUUGAACCAUCAAGUAAGAAAUUCAGGGACUAGAGAAAGCAAAAAGAUUCAUGGCUAGAGAAAACAAAAAGAUCAAGAUCUGACUUGAUAGUAAGAUUUUCUUACUUUGUGUAUGUUUAUUGUUUUGAUCAACUUUUUAUGUGUUUAUAAUUUAUAGAAAUGUUCUGAUAUUAUUUUUGUUUAAUUUCAGAUCAAAAUAUUAAUUUAUUCUUCUAA